ensembl:misc_RNA
GCCGCGUGCCUCCCAUCCGUGGUCGGUGGUUAAUGCAGGAGGGAAUUAGAACAAGAUCCUAACAAACUUGCAGCCAGCCCACUGAGUCGUUAAAAAACACCCGCAAGGAUGUUAAAAAACACACGCCAACCCUAACGCUCCAGAGAGUUCCGAAACACACAGUAUAUUUCGAACUAAGGGUUACAGUCCUUCAAAUGUGGAAAUUCCAAG